rnacentral:lncRNA from 1 species
GAUCCAGAGUGGUUAGGUUGGAAGUUGAUGUUGUUUGUUUUGUAGGUGCAUGUUUAGACAAAGCGUGUGAGUAGGAUGGAAGGGAACACUCCCUGUUAGAAAGUGUCCCUUCUCUGAUAUAUGGCUGUGUACUUUCUGCAGUGAAUCUCUCCUGAAUAACUCCCAGAAUGUCUUUGCCAGUGUUCACCAAGAUAGAAAGAUUGCGAAAGUUUCAAACAUUAUACAAUUAGAAAUUAUUAUGAUAAAGAAUAAGACAUUUAUUUACUGGUUCAAAUAACAUACUGUGUGCUUUGUAUUCUGACAUAUGUGUGUUAAAUUGAAUUUAUGAUCAAUUUGUUAUGAUUGAGAGUUAUAGGAGUUAUAGUUGUUUUAAUAAUCAAACCUUCGGCUCAUUAAAAUUAUAUAAAAGUGAAAAGCCUGAGGUUGUUAUGGAUUGCAUGACUUCUUUUUUUUUCUUUUUUUUUUUGAGAUGGAAUCUCACUCUGUUGCCCAGGCUGGAGUGCAAUGGCAUGUUCUCGGCUCACUGCAAACCAAACAGGCUAAUUUUUGUAUUUUUAGUAAAGACAGGGCUUCACCAUAUUGGCCAGGUUGGUCUCGAACUCCUGACCUGGUGAUCUGCCCGCCUCAGCCUCCCAAAGUGUUGGGGUUACAGGCAUGAGCCACCAUGCCCGGCUGGAUUGCAUGACUUUUAAGAGUUUAUGCUGAAAUAAUGAUGUGCUUUAUUUUAGGAUUUAAAUGCAAAUGAAUUUGUGGCUGAAAUCUCUUUGGGAGAGCAAAUUUUUCAAAUUGCCAUUUUCUUCUUCCACUUGAAAGCAGAAAAACCUUCUUUCAGUUGAUUUGAGGAACCAAAACUGAACUCAGAGUGACAGGAGCACAAAGAAAUGCAAGAUGAUGUAGGUUGGAAAAAGAUGGCCAGAACAGAAGCUGGUUCAUAAAGAUAAACCAAGUUGAGGAGUUUAGCCAUAAUCCUGGGGGCACUGGGAAGUCAAUAAAAGAUUGAUAAGUAGAAGAUGACUUGAGUUACAUUUUAGCAAAGCUUUUCCAGGUACAAUGUAAAAAAUAGAUUGGAAUGCUGAAGGACAGCAGGACACUAGGAAGAAUUUUGUAAUGGAAUAGAUUUAUGAUAAUGGUGUGAACUGAAUAAAUGGGAGUAGGGAUUCAAGAAAGUGGAUAUAAGGGAGGAGACCACCCCUCAUAUUGUCCUAUGCCCAAUUUCUGCCUCCAAAGAAAGAAGUAAAAACUAAAAGGCAGAAAUGAAAUCCACAAGCAGACAGCCCAGUGCCACACCUUGGGCCUGGUAGUUAAAGAUCAACCCCUGACCUAAUCGGUUAUGCUAUCUAUAGAUUACAGAAAUUGCAUAGAAAAGCACUGUGAAAAUCCCUGUCCUGUUCUGUUCUGUUCUAAUUACCGGUGCAGGCAGCCCCCAGUCACGUACCCUCUGCUUGCUCAAUCGAUCAUGACCCUCUCACACGCACCCCCUUAGAGCUGUGAGCCCGUUUUGUCUGCAGCUUGUCCUGCUACAGACAUAUCUGAAAGGCUCCAUAUUAUAAAGGUGCCGGUUAGCAAUUGUAUUGAAAAUACCAGUAGAGGCCAAGUGAAGUAGCUCACACCUGUAAUCCCAGCACUUUGAGAGGCUGAGGCAGGAGGAUCACUUGUGCCCAGGAGUUUGAGACUAGAGUGAGAUAUGAUUGUGUCACUGUACUCCAGCUUGGGCUACAGAGCAAGAUCCUGUCUAUCCCUCAAAUUUUUUAAAUUAAAAAUAUUUUAAAGAUAAAAUAAAUAUGUAGUAGGAUGGGUCGCAGACAAAACCUCUCAGACACCGGAUUUAGGAAGUAAGAGGCUUUAUUCGGCCGGAAGCAUCAGCAGACUUGCGUCUCAAGAACAGAACUCCCUGAAGAAAAAGUUCCUGGCCUUUGUAAGGGCUUACAACUUUAAGGGGUCCACGUGAAAGGGUCAUGAUUGAUUAUGCAAGCGUGGGCUACCUGACUGAGGGCUAUAUGCAUCAGUGGUGAGGGCUAGCAGAACAGAACAGAAAGUUUCACAAUGCUUCUCCAUACAAUGUCUGGAAUCGACCAGAGCUUAACCGCACAUGCGGUUAGGGUGGGGGUUAAUCUUUUACAUUCAGGCCUGGUCAGUGGCGUCAGUCAGUCUGGCCACUGACCCUACUUCUGUUAUUUUUCAGCUUUUACUUCCUCCUUUGCAACUCUACCACAGGAGGCAGAGGGAAAAUCCAAGGAAAAUGUUCUCUUUCCUCAAAUACACCAAUAGAGGUUUCAUACUAUGCUACAACUGUGUCUAAAAUAAGAGCAAAGGUCAAUACUUGCUUAGAGACAUUUAAAAACAAAAACAGGAGAAAAUUUGCAUUAUCAGAUAACAAAACUUAUUAUAAAGCUAUAGUGCUUAAGACAUGAUAUUAAGACAGCAAUUGAUAAACCAUUAGAACAGAAUAGGGAAUCCAGAAACAAUCUUGUGGGUAUAAGGAAACUUGGUAUAUAGCAGAACUUUGCUCCUCAGUGAGGAAGAGAAAAAAUUGAUGGUCCAUUUAGAAGAAAAUGAAAUUGGAUCCCUGCAUUCUAAAUAUUUUAGACUUAAAUGUGAAAGUCAAAGCUAUAAAACUUUUUGAAGAGAAAGUGGGAGAAUGCG